UUUGGCGUCGGCGUAGCGGUGGGGGUCGUCGCCGAACUCGCCGAGGAUCCGGGCGCCGAGGAUCACACCCAGGCCGGGCAGG
rnacentral:sRNA from 1 species